GACGAACGCUGGCGGCGUGCUUAACACAUGCAAGUCGAGCGGUAAGGCCCUUUCGGGGGUACACGAGCGGCGAACGGAUGAGUAACACGUGGGUGACCUGCCCUCAGCUCUGGGAUAAGCCUGGGAAACCGGGUCUAAUACCGGAUAUGACUCCAUGACGCAUGUUGUGGGGUGGAAAGCCUUGUGCGGCUGAGGAUGGGCCCGCGGCCUAUCAGCUUGUUGGUGGGGUGANGGCCUACCAAGGCGACGACGGGUAGCCGGCCUGAGAGGGCGACCGGCCACACUGGGACUGAGACACGGCCCAGACUCCUACGGGAGGCAGCAGUGGGGAAUCUUGCGCAAUGGGCGAAAGCCUGACGCAGCGACGCCGCGUGAGGGAUGACGGCCU
rnacentral:rRNA from 1 species